AAGUCGUAACAAGGUUUCCGUAGGUGAACCUGCGGAAGGAUCAUUAACACGUUUCAAACGUAUUAAAUCGAAAUAUCCACCCCAAACUGUGUCACGUUGUAUGUCUCUGUCGUUCGCGAUCGAUUCCUGCAAUCUACUCGGCAAUCGGUCCAUACGUGUGAAAUACCACAUAUCGGUCCCUUGUCUUCUACUCACCUCUUUCUUUUUCACCCCCUUUCUUUUUGACUCACCCUUGACACAACCCAAGUGGUCUGAUACCAACGUGUUCACAUCUUUUUUAAGAUCUGAACCCGAACCAUAUGGAUGUUUUUGCAUUCAGAAUUUGAAAUACAACUCUUAGCAAUGGAUAUCUUGGUUCUC
rnacentral:misc_RNA from 1 species